UAAGCGAAUAGUGAAAUCUGGUGGCUCAACCAUCAACACAUUGUUCGAACUGCUGGUCUCGAGAAUGGUAGAGGUAGCUGGAAUUUCUUGUGUAGGAGUGAAAUCCGUAGAUAUAAGAAGGAACACCAAUGGCGUAGGCAGGCUACUGGACCAUUUCUGACGCUGAGGCACGAAAGCGUGGGGAGCGAACCGGAUUAGAUACCCGGGUAGUCCACGCCGUAAACGAUGGAUACUA
rnacentral:rRNA from 1 species